AACCAACAUUAACACGAGAAAUGCAGAAUUCAUUCCCUUCUGAAGCAGCAACUUCAGCCAUCUCUGUUGCAACCUUGACAGCCUUCUGCAUAUUUUCUUCAGCAAUCUUCUUUUGUGCUUUUCUUACUUGAUUCUGAAGUACAGAAAUCCUAGACCUAAUGUCAGCUUUCUUGGCUGCUGGAAUAGGUGCCGAGUCCACGCGACUUUUUAAAGAGGCUACUUUCUUUUCCAGCAAGCUUCCUUCUGUCUUGGAUGUCUCAUCAACCUCCUGCUCAAGUGAUGAUGCUAGUUCCAUAGCCUUAAAAGCACUAUCAGUUGUCACAGCAGUUAUUCUUCGAAUUCCUUUUGCAAUUCCCUCCUCUGAUAACAGAGCAAAUGCCUUUGCUUCCCUUGUAUUUGAAAUAUGUGUCCCUCCACAGAGUUCUGCUGAGAUUGACAGCCACUCAUUAUUUUCUGGAUCGGCUAGGAGGUCCUCAACUUUUCGACCAAUUGCCACAACUCUAACUGGGUCCGGAUAGACUUCUCCAAAAACAGCUCGUAAACCAUUGAUAUGCUUGGCUUCAGAAAGAGUUGCUUCCUUUGCAGAUACUUCUAAUUCUGCUUUGAUUUGCUCAUUCACAAUUGACUCAAUCUUUCUCAAAUGGUCAGGAUCCACUGGCUUGCCAUGAGAAAAAUCAAAUCUUAAUUUUUCAGGAAGAACAAUCGAUCCCUUCUGAUCAACAUGAUUGCCAAGCACUUCCCUGAGAGCAAAAUUCAACAUGUGUGUACAAGUAUGGUUUGGAGCAAUGAGUUUACGCCUAUCAUAGUCAACCUUACAGAUAACUUUAUCACCCACGCAGAAUUUGCUGCCUCCUUCAGUAAGAGAACCAAUAUGAAGAAUAAAUCCUCCAAAAAUUUGGACAUUGGAAACUUGGAAUGACCCAAAAGUGCCUUCAAUUGUUCCAGUAUCAAAAAUCUGGCCACCUUGCUCAGCAUAGAAACUAGUGGAUUCCAAAACUAUACCAACUUCAUUGCCAGUGGUAGAACUUUCCAAGAACUUAGAACCGGUGUAGAUGGCUUU
rnacentral:misc_RNA from 1 species